UGAGUGUGAGCUUUGAAUCCCGGGCGGAAGAGAGUAGUUGAGCUUGAAAUCACUUGGAAAGCUUGAAAGCACUUGAUUUCUUCACUUGAAUGCACUAACUCCCUUGAACCUCUUUUUCUUUCUUCUCUCUUGAAUGAUUUUGCUUUGGGUUGGUAAAAAGUUAUUGAGAAGCACUUAAGAGCUCCCUUUUAUAGCUCAAAAAGCAAAUAUAGCCGUUAGAGAUAAAGUAAAAGAUAUUUGAAAUUCAAACCAAACAUGUAAAAGCUGUCAGUCGCGU
rnacentral:lncRNA from 1 species